AUGCCUGUGGCGCAGAUGGCCGAGAGGCUGUUGUGCCAGCGCAUGGGAAUCAUAGAUGAAGCACAACAACUCACGGAAGACGCCAUUGGCAAGUUCGUUGAGAUGUUUCAGGGAAGGCUACCGGACAUAGCUGUUUCAGCCCUUAGGGCUCUGUUCAACCUUGACUGUGACCUUGCUACGGUUGUUGAAGAUGCUCUGUUGGAGCAUGGAGGUGAGGCUGGCCCUGAACUGCAGGCAACGGCCGAGGAGAUUGCCGGCGUGUCGGCAUGA
rnacentral:rRNA from 1 species